GACGAACGCUGGCGGCGUGCUUAACACAUGCAAGUCGAACGGAAAGGCCUGCUUUUCCUUGUGGAUUGGGGGUGCUCGAGUGGGGAACGGGCGAGUAACACGUGAGUGAUCUGCCCUGAACUUGGGUAUAAGCCUGGGAGACUGGGUCUAAUUCCCGAUAGGACUGCAGGGUGGUGUAUGUGGUGGCGGACGUUUUUCUAGUGGUUGGGGAUGAGCUGGCGGCGUAUCAGGUUGUUGGUGUGGUAGUGGCCUACCAAGGCGGGGACGGGUAGCCGGCCUGGGAGCGGGGACGGCGACAGUGGGACUGAGACACGGCCCAGACGGCUACGGGAGGCAGCAGUGGGGCAGAAUGCAGGGAGAGCGUAAGGCAGAAGCAGCGAGGCCGCGGUGGGGAUGACGGGAUCGGGGUGGUAAACUACUAGCGACGGCGAGGAAGCCACCUGGCCGGAAGGGUGGUGACGGUAGUGGUAGAAGAAGCACCGGCUAACUACGUG
rnacentral:rRNA from 1 species